AUGCUGGAGGUAUCAGAAGUGCGAAUGCUGACAUAAGUAACGAUAAAGCGGGUGAAAAGCCCGCUCGCCGGAAGACCAAGGGUUCCUGUCCAACGUUAAUCGGGGCAGGGUGAGUCGACCCCUAAGGCGAGGCCGAAAGGCGUAGUCGAUGGGAAACAGGUUAAUAUUCCUGUACUUGGUGUUACUGCGAAGGGGGGACGGAGAAGGCUAUGUUGGCCGGGCGACGGUUGUCCCGGUUUAAGCGUGUAGGCUGGUUUUCCAGGCAAAUCCGGAAAAUCAAGGCUGAGGCGUGAUGACGAGGCACUACGGUGCUGAAGCAACAAAUGCCCUGCUUCCAGGAAAAGCCUCUAAGCAUCAGGUAACAUCAAAUCGUACCCCAAACCGACACAGGUGGUCAGGUAGAGAAUACCAAGGCGCUUGAGAGAACUCGGGUGAAGGAACUAGGCAAAAUGGUGCCGUAACUUCGGGAGAAGGCACGCUGAUAUGUAGGUGAAGUCCCUCGCGGAUGGAGCUGAAAUCAGUCGAAGAUACCAGCUGGCUGCAACUGUUUAUUAAAAACACAGCACUGUGCAAACACGAAAGUGGACGUAUACGGUGUGACGCCUGCCCGGUGCCGGAAGGUUAAUUGAUGGGGUUAGCCGCAAGGCGAAGCUCUUGAUCGAAGCCCCGGUAAACGGCGGCCGUAACUAUAACGGUCCUAAGGUAGCGAAAUUCCUUGUCGGGUAAGUUCCGACCUGCACGAAUGGCGUAAUGAUGGCCAGGCUGUCUCCACCCGAGACUCAGUGAAAUUGAACUCGCUGUGAAGAUGCAGUGUACCCGCGGCAAGACGGAAAGACCCCGUGAACCUUUACUAUAGCUUGACACUGAACAUUGAGCCUUGAUGUGUAGGAUAGGUGGGAGGCUUUGAAGUGUGGACGCCAGUCUGCAUGGAGCCGACCUUGAAAUACCACCCUUUAAUGUUUGAUGUUCUAACGUUGACCCGUAAUCCGGGUUGCGGACAGUGUCUGGUGGGUAGUUUGACUGGGGCGGUCUCCUCCUAAAGAGUAACGGAGGAGCACGAAGGUUGGCUAAUCCUGGUCGGACAUCAGGAGGUUAGUGCAAUGGCAUAAGCCAGCUUGACUGCGAGCGUGACGGCGCGAGCAGGUGCGAAAGCAGGUCAUAGUGAUCCGGUGGUUCUGAAUGGAAGGGCCAUCGCUCAACGGAUAAAAGGUACUCCGGGGAUAACAGGCUGAUACCGCCCAAGAGUUCAUAUCGACGGCGGUGUUUGGCACCUCGAUGUCGGCUCAUCACAUCCUGGGGCUGAAGUAGGUCCCAAGGGUAUGGCUGUUCGCCAUUUAAAGUGGUACGCGAGCUGGGUUUAGAACGUCGUGAGACAGUUCGGUCCCUAUCUGCCGUGGGCGCUGGAGAACUGAGGGGGGCUGCUCCUAGUACGAGAGGACCGGAGUGGACGCAUCACUGGUGUUCGGGUUGUCAUGCCAAUGGCACUGCCCGGUAGCUAAAUGCGGAAGAGAUAAGUGCUGAAAGCAUCUAAGCACGAAACUUGCCCCGAGAUGAGUUCUCCCUGACCCUUUAAGGGUCCUGAAGGAACGUUGAAGACGACGACGUUGAUAGGCCGGGUGUGUAAGCGCAGCGAUGCGUUGAGCUAACCGGUACUAAUGAACCGUGAGGCUUAACCUU
rnacentral:rRNA from 2 species